GGACUACAACCUGGGAUUUGUUAGAGAGGGAUUGUGUCAAUUUUGGUCUUUUUUUUUUUUUUUUAAACUACUGGCUCUCAGCCAUGGCUACUCUUAGAACCCCUGGGGAAAUACAAACCAAGCCAAACAAAAUACAUUGAUGUCAAUCCCUGUCAGCCCUCCUCCCAUCUAAUCGACUUGAGAUGGGGUCUGAGAGUCUGCAUUUUUCAAAGCACUUUUGGAGAUUUUAAUGUGCAGCCCAAACACUGACCCCGUUUUCCAAACCUGCUCAAAAAUGCCUUUGUGACAAUUCACUUGUUACCCACUGAAGUUGCUAAGAAUCUGGACAUGACAGUGAGUUCUACAUCACAGUUGGAGACAACCCAGUCAGUCUUUAGACCAUCCCUGUUCUAUCAGCUUUAGAGGAUAAUCCUCAUGAUUAGAAUAUUUAGGCAUUCAUCCAAGCAGUUCCUGUGUAGAGCAUCAGUUUAGAAGGAACGUUAUUCAGUUUUAGUUAAACUGCAUUAUAAAGUUACCCACCAUGAAAUAGUCUAAGACUUCAUUGUUAAAGUGUUAAAAAAUAUAUAAAUAAAAUGUUCCCUGAUUAGUUUAAGGUCACACUGUGAAAAGAAACCGUCCUUCCUAAACUAGGAAGAUUGCCACCAGUUUGUCAUGCAGUGACUUAAGGUUUUAAACAUUUGUAUAGAUCCUCUGGAGAGCCUAAAGAGGGUGGUGGGUUGGGCUGUGCUUAUAAGCAUCUUCGCAUAUUGUGAAGCUGGCAGCUGAACAGCAAGUGAUUAAUUGUUACCCGAUGUGAUAUCUAUUUAGAAGCAGUUUGUCAAACAAACUGACUUGUAAAAACAUCUCUCAGAGAUGGGUUCCAGAGAAAUCUGCAUAGGCUUAUGCAUAGGAAUUGCAUUUCAUAACUCAUUUUGGUUAGUAGCAAGUGUCUAAGACAAGUAGGCAGGCUUACUCCUACAGGAAGUGAGUCAAGACCAAAGCUGGGAACUGAGCCAGCUUGGAACUUGGCAGCAGCCUUUCUUCCCAAGGCUGACAGGAGGUUCUGUAAUCCCCUUUGCAAGCAUUGUCAGCAGGCCUCGAGUUUGGCACAUGAUCAAUAGAUUUAUCUCACCGAAUUGACAGGGGAGUAUUUCAAUAUGUGUUGGCAACAGUGACCUGGGAAUAGCAAGUGUGAGGGACACUGAAGUAACAAUACUUCAAGCGAUGUAACCUUGUCUAGCUGCUCUGAUGGUUUUUCAGGCUGCUCUUUUACCAGGGCAGCUCAUUUUCAGGUUUAUUUUCUCUGGUGAGCUAUUGGACCACUUUUGGUUCUCACUCCUGAACAUCUAGUAGUCUUUCAGAUGCAAGGCCAGGAGCUGACCUCAUGGACACUCAUGUAAGAAUAUCCCUUGGUGGAGAAUGGACACAAUACUUAUCCCUCACACAGAGAGGUUGGGAAUGCCUGUCUGUAAUGGAUUUAUGUCUGCCCAUUGGUUUCUUUGCGAUAUGUGUGAGAUAUCUUUAUAGCUGAGUCAGCAUGGGAGUUUCUCAGGCUGGGGCUUGUAGUGUGUUUGACAUAAUAAAUAUUACAACAGU
rnacentral:lncRNA from 1 species